rnacentral:lncRNA from 1 species
GAGAGUGAUGGAUACGAAGAAACAGCUCUUGAGAUUGGCGCAGUAGGUGUCGCAAGCUUUGGUCACUGUGAACGGAAACAUCUUGUGAAUGUUGGUGUAAGAUCCAGCAGCGUAACCUAAAACGUUCCCGACCGCCAUAAAAAACGAGAAACACGCGUUGGCGAGACGCGUUCUUUUGGCGUCACCAGCGGCUAGAUCGCCUAAGAAAGCACGGCAUGGUCCUUGUAAAGUGUUGUUCGCCACGUCAAGGAUCCAAAACCCGACAGUGAAGAUAAUAAUGGCUCGGGUCUUUACCUUCUCCCCUAUUGGAUCUCCCAAUUUAUGUCCAAGAUCCGCCGCGAACCCGAUAAAGAAAACGGAGAGAGCUACGAGCACGGCUCCGACGGCGAUGAACGGACGACGACGACCAAAUCUCGACUCGGAACGGUCACUGUAGUAACCGACGAUUGGUUGAACAAGAAUACCGGAGAUUGGACCGCAGAGCCACAUGUAAGCCGACCACUUGUGAGGGAUCCCAAGGAGUUGCACGUAAGGAGUCAAAAGAGAGAGCUGUAAGGCCCAACCGAACUGUAUUCCGGCGGCGAUGGAAGCGACGGAGACGAUUUUUCGAAGUGGAGAUGGUUGAUCGGGAUCUUCGGGCGACGACUGUAUCUCUAACGCCGCCGCAGCGUUGGCGGCUCUGACUGCUCCGUACUCUCCUCCCAUUAUGAAAAAACACGUCCAGACAAAAACUCCAAGGUUUUAGAGGAAAAAAAAAGAAAAUUUUAUUUUCCUUUUGUUUUUUUUUUCUUGUAACGUUUUUAGAAAAGUGAGAUUUUUAGUUUUGUGAGGUAGGAAAUGAGAGAUUUUAAGUUGUAAUUUAUAGGCCAAGGGUAAAGACACGUGGCUGUUUAGGACAUUGAUUUCUGCUUUGUAUUUUUCGUAUCUGCUGUGUUAUUGUCAGGUUGACUACUAAACUAGCUUGUUUAUACAGACUAAUUAUAGUUUUUAUUGUUUAAUAUUACUUACUUUAAAUUAAUUUUUUCAACUUUACCUAAAAAAAAAGAUAUGAAAUUUGUCAAUACACAUUAACUAUUAAGUCAAAGUUUCAGCUUUAUCCUCAUCUAUAAAAGAAAAUAUAAAAGAAUGUCAUAACCUCUAUAUUUGGAUCUUUCUUGUUUAGCAAAGCAAACAAGUUUUCACCGUCGAGAAGAGUGUCGCAAGGUUCACCUUCAAGACUGAUACAAUCGUUUAUGGUAUUUGCAAAAUUAGAAUAUUACAUUACCAAGGAAAAUUUUUCUUAGUAAUAAUGGAAACUUUACUUUUUAUAGGUAUGAAUAAAACAAUUAAUUAUUCAAAUCAAAACUUUUUUCUUGAUUGGUUGUUACUUUAGAGUAUGUCUACAACCAUUUUGUAUAUACAGUUCAAAAAUCUAAUAAAUCAUAUGUUACAAACUUUAUAUUUUCUUUUUUUGAUUUACAGCUAAAAUAUUUACAAAGUUAUUUUUCUAAAACACAUAAUUUGUUUAUUUUGUUAACAGUAACCAAUCAGGGCCUAUUAAUCUAUUGACUAUGGAAGACACUUUUUUUGGAUAAGAAAUAUACUGUAGUUAGAAAGAAAAUAAUGGAGUCUUGAAAGACGAAUUUGGUAAGUGAAUCAAAGGUUAUAGAAUCCCUUUAUUACAAGUAAGCAAGAUAUUUGACCAUAAUGAGGUAUUAAUUAACUUUCCCAAAGUGAUUAUCAAAAGACUGGGCUCAUAAACCUUAAUCUAUAAGUUGAGUUUUGAUCAAGGUCCAACUCGAAAAGUCCUCAAAUUGAUAUUUGUUUUCUUUUUAUGUAUCCAAAAAACUCUAUCUGGCCCAAAGGCCUUCAUCGAGUAUGUUGCGCCAGUCUUUGCUCUCAUCUGGGGACACUCUCUAUCUCAACUGGAGUCUUUGCUCCUUAAAAUUCAAUUACCCCAUCUUUUCCUCAUAGCCCUUCUGCUCGCCCGACCUGAUCUCAAUCCUCUCUUCACAACUUCACAUACACAGCCUAUCCGUUUCAGCUUUUAGGUUCGAAUUGUUCUUGUAACUUAAAAGACUUGCUAUUUUUUCCCCUAGCUAGAGAGAGUCUGUUGUUUAUAACUCUGCCUGUUUUUUCACCGCGGAUAAAGUAAUUUAGUUACCUUCAAUCAUUCUAAAUUAUAAAGUUAUUCAUCUUUUUCUCCAUGUAUAAAAGUGUUGCCAAUUGCCAUGAAUUAUUACCAAUGUUUUUGUAUGGAAGCAUUUUUUUCUACUUACGAAAACAAAACAGUAAAAAAAAACUGUAGUCUCAUACAUCACUUAUUGACGACCAAACAAAAGAAAAACAACUUCUAUUUAAAAUCAGUAACAAAGUAAAAAAAAAAGCUAAAGGAAGGGUGAAAUACAGAUUACCCAAGCUGGUUUAUUAGAGUUUAUCACUUUUAUCCCACUCUCUUUUUUUUUGGUUCUUUUUAGGGGUUUUGCACAAUAAUACUGUAUUUGAUCAUGAGUUUCAUUAUAAAAAAAAAAAAAANNNNNNNNNNAGUAAAGCUAGUGGAAUCCCAUGGCUCCUGUCUUCAUGGCAGGUGCGUCCGGUGGCGGUGAAGGUAAAACGGUUAAGGCUAAUACUCCACUAAUCGCUGCAGCAAUCGCUCCAACGAUAAACGCCGGUAAGUUUCCACCACCGAAGAGUGCAUCGAAAGGUCCACCUCCUAGUGAUACUAUCAUUUGUGGUAUCACAAUCGCCAAAUUUAAAACUCCCAACGAAAGUCCUGUAAAAUAAAAUAAAAAAUGAACGGAUUAGAUAAAGUUACGUAGUAGUCCCACGUUAUAAGAAUCAAACCAAUACAUUUUGUAACUUGAAUAAAGUUAAAAGAAUAGUUUACCUUGGCCUGCACCGGUGCAGCUUGAAAAGAUGGACGCUAGCGCAAAUGGUGUACUGAAAGUGAUCUGUAAUGAUAAAAUAAACGAAUCAGUUAAUAUGUGUACCUUUAACCCCAAAAAAGAAAACCAAAAACAAAAUUAGAGUAGAAAACAAAAGUGUACUAUACUUACAGCUAAUGGAAUACCAAGAACAGCAAAGAGACUUAAAGCUCCAGCUUUAAUACUACUGCUCGGUCCGGCUAAUUCACCGGCGACUUUCCGGUGAUCCUCGGCAUAUUUUGUAACGAGAACGGUCAUGGCCAAACCGGCGGCGAGGAUGAAAUUCACAAGCCCCCAAAGUCGUUUAGCUCCUCCUAGUUUCCGACCAAUCCAUUCAACACCAAGUGACAUGAAACCAAGAACUAUAGAGUUAAACAUCAGUCCCAUUGCACCAGACUGGACUCCAAGGCUGUAUAGUUUCUUCGACCGCUCGUUUCCAUCUGAAUCUCCUCCGUACACUUCACGACCCAUCCAAUCAGUAUCGAACAAAAGAAAAGGGAACCAAGCGAUCCAGUUCAAGGCCGUGACGAUUAGAAGCAUCCACAUGGGACGUUUCAUGACUUUGAAAGCUCCAAAGAUCUCUCCGAACAAAGGAACGCUUGAGGUAUUCUCGUCGUCGUCGGGGUUUCUCGGCGGCGGUGACCAUUGUUUGUCUUUAACGUACCAAAGAGACGUGACGGUGACGAUGAGGAGGAGAGUGAUGGAUAAGAAGAAACAAGUCUUCAGAUUGGCGCAGUAGAUGUCGCAAGCUUUGGUCAUUGUGAACGGAAACAUCUUGUGAAGGUCAGUGUAAGAUCCAGCAGCGUAACCCAAGACGUUUCCGACCGCCAUAAAAAAGGAGAAAAACGCGUUUGCGACUCGCGUUUUUUUAGCGUCACCGGCGGCUAAAUCGGCUAAGAAAGCACGGCAAGGUCCUUGUAAGGUGUUGUUAGCCACGUCAAGAAUCCAAAACCCGAGAGCAAAGAUUCCAAUGGCUCGAACCUUUAUCUUCUGGUCGAGCUUAUCUCCCAUUUUAUUACCAAUAUCCG